UACGUAGGGGGCAAGCGUUGUCCGGAUUUAUUGUGCGUAAAGAGCGUGUAGGCGGCUUCACAGGUCCGCUGUGAAAACUCGAGGCUCAACCUCGAGCUGUCGGUGGAAACCGUGUGGCUAGAGUCCGGAAGAGGAGAGUGGAAUUCCCGGUGUAGCGGUGAAAUGCGCAGAUAUCGGGAAGAACACCCGUGGCUAAGGCGGCUCUCUAGUACGUGACUGACGCUGAGACGCGAAAGCGUGGGGAGCGAACAGG
rnacentral:rRNA from 1 species